rnacentral:misc_RNA from 1 species
UCUCCAUCAGCAAUUACCCCAAUUGAUUGCCCUUCUCUGUAGGGCACUUCUCCUUCAGUACUGAAGACCAUAUGCCAAGUCUCACCGGGAGCAUCAUCGCCGGUGAUUUUGGUGUUCAGAAGGCAUCGUCCGACGUACGGACUCUUGGGUUUGAAUUUAUUCACCACAAUUCCUUCCUCUUGCUUCUUCGACUCUUUCUCCACCUUGGCCGGAG